rnacentral:rRNA from 1 species
UACGGUGGGGGCAAGCGUUGUUCGGAAUUACUGGGCGUAAAGGGCUCGUAGGCGGCCAACUAAGUCAUACGUGAAAUCCCCCGGCUCAACCGGGGAAGGGGCCGCGAACUGGCGUUCUUGAGGGGGAGAGAGGAGAGCGGAAUUCCUGGUGUAGCGGUGAAAUGCGUAGAGAUCAGGAGGAACACCCAUGGCGAAGGCAGCUCUCUGGCUUAACCCUGACGCUGAGGCGCGAAAGCGUGGGGAGCGAACGGG